AGUGAACGCUGGCGGUAGGCCUAACACAUGCAAGUCGAACGGCAGCACAGGAGAGCUUGCUCUCUGGGUGGCGAGUGGCGGACGGGUGAGGAAUACAUCGGAAUCUACUUUUUCGUGGGGGAUAACGUAGGGAAACUUACGCUAAUACCGCAUACGACCUACGGGUGAAAGCAGGGGACCUUCGGGCCUUGCGCGAUUGAAUGAGCCGAUGUCGGAUUAGCUAGUUGGCGGGGUAAAGGCCCACCAAGGCGACGAUCCGUAGCUGGGCUGAGAGGAUGAUCAGCCACACUGGAACUGAGACACGGUCCAGACUCCUACGGGAGGCAGCAGUGGGGAAUAGUGGACAAUGGGCGCAAGCCUGAUCCAGCCAUACCGCGUGGGUGAAGAAGGCCUUCGGGUUGUAAAGCCCUUUUGUUGGGAAAGAAAUCCAGCUGGCUAAUACCCGGUUGGGAUGACGGUACCCAAAGAAUAAGCACCGGCUAACUUCGUGCCAGCCGCCGCAGUAA
rnacentral:rRNA from 1 species